rnacentral:rRNA from 1 species
UGGGGAAUAUUGCACAAUGGGCGCAAGCCUGAUGCAGCCAUGCCGCGCGUAUGAAGAAGGCCUUCGGGUUGUAAAGUACUUUCAGCGGGGAGGAAGGGAGUAAAGUUAAUACCUUUGCUCAUUGACGUUACCCGCAGAAGAAGCACCGGCUAACUCCGUGCCAGCAGCCGCGGUAAUACGGAGGGUGCAAGCGUUAAUCGGAAUUACUGGGCGUAAAGCGCACGCAGGCGGUUUGUUAAGUCAGAUGUGAACUCCCCGGGCUCAACCUGUGAACUGCAUCUCAUACUGGCAUCCUUGACUCUCGUAGCCGCCUGUUGACUUCCUUGUUUAGCGGUGACCUGCCUAGCGCUCUCGCGGACUACCGGUCGCUAAGGCGGCCCCCUGUACGACGCCUGACGCUCCGGUGCGCAAGCGUGGGGAGCCAACAGG